GCGGCCUCUUGGAUCAUGUAUUCUGAAGGAAGCCAGUCACAUGUGAGGACACUCAACAGCUUUGUGUGCGGCCCACACAGAGAGAAAUUGAGGUCUCCAAUCAAUGAGCUUUUUUCACUGGGUACCGUGAAUGUCGUGGUUUGCAGACUCUCAUCCUCUGGAGAACUCUGUUGUCUUGUUAAGCAGAUACUUUCCAGCCUUUAGGCUCAGGUCAGUCAUCACAGCUUCCAGUGUGUUGUUACACAUCUUUGCUGCUUUCCUUUUACAUCCUAAACUCUCCAGGCUCUUCCUCCGACUCCAUGGACAGAAGGCAGCAGGUUUCUGUUAGAAACCCUCACCGUGCUGCUCUACGACAAAAGCCACCCGGGGCGAACUUGGGUGUAAGAAAGAAAAAAAACCGCUAGGAAACCGCCCUGUGUUCUUUGCUUCCCAACUGUGGAUUCCCCUCAACACCAGCCUGCCUGGUCCUCAGGUGCAGAGACAUCCGGGACUCUCAGAUUCUACAUCAUUCCCUGCAGGCGCGGGGACAUCUGGGACUCUCAGAUUCUAAGUCAUACUCCACAUCUCACAGCAGGAGGAGACUGAUUCUGGAGAGAUUACCCAAACUGCUCAAGCAACCCACUCAAUCUGCAACUGAGCGGGGUCUAAAGCUCAGGGCUUUCCACUCCUCAUUCUGUAUUCGUUCUUCCACCAGCACUUACUGUCUCUCCAGUGACUCAAUGCUUGGGCCCAGAUUAACACCUCAGGAAGGUUAUGUACCUUGCUAUGAGUUACAAGUACUGGAGGAUAGCGCAGGUGCAUUAUACCAGUCUGAUGUGAGGUAAAUAUGUGGUAUCAGUGAAGGUUUAUGGACAGUAAAAUUAGGAGUGUUUGAAAUACAGAUGUUCUUGGACUUAUGCAGGGGUUAAGUCCCAAUACAUUCAUCCUAAGUUGGCAAUAUUGUCAGUAAGAAACGCAUUCAAUACACUUAAUCUAUGGAACAUUACAGCUUAGCCUGGCUUACCUUAAAUGUCCUCAGAGCACUUACCUUAGGCUGCAGUUGGGCAAAAUCAUCCAACACUACUACCUAGUUUCAGAAGGUUUUGCAUAAUUAACCAGCUAUGUCUGGGAGUAACAUCAUAAGAAGCAGGCCCCUUAGGUUCUUAAUUUAGAUCAAUGACAAUUAGAAGACCUAACCCUUAAGGAUAAGGGCUAAAAAGGGUUUAAAUCUUAUUUGUUUGUUUAUUCUUUUCUUUUUUCUUAAGACAAAUGUUUUUUAGAACAAAAGGCGUAGGUUCUUCAGCAAAUAUGGGCAUUUGUGUAUUACAAUUCCUUAAACUCUGUGUGUAUGUUUUACGGUUUUUGUUCAUAUGACGUAUUUCAUUAAAAUACUUUUUAAAAGCAA
rnacentral:lncRNA from 10 species